rnacentral:lncRNA from 1 species
GCCCAUUUGAAUUCAUGAGAAGAAACUUCUCAUGAAUUUUCUCUCACGCAAAGCCCUUCCCACGCCCCACAUUUGUGCACCAUAUAGGUGAAUAAGGAUGGUUGGUUGGCCAUUCAAAUUCAAAACAAAGUUUGAAUUUGAAUGAGCAACCAAUCCAUGCGCCAUGUACUUAUCUUCUUUAGCGCCCCAUAUCUUACACGAGAAAGAGUUUCUCAUGAAACCUUUCCAUGCACCUUCUCUUCUCAUGCCCAAGUGGAUAGGGAUGAGUUGGUUUGCAUUUGAUUUCAAAUUUGAUUUGAAUUCAAAUGUGCAACCACUUAUCUUU